UCGCGGCCGCCGGGCCUGGUCACGCGCAGAGCCGCGCCGCGGGAUCGGGGCCAGCGCCGGGCGGAGGCGGGACGGGGACGGGGGCGGAGGGUUGAAAUCGCGCGGCCGGGCCGGGGCGCGCCGAGCCGAACCCAGCCACGCGGCGCCAGCGAGGCGGCCGGACCCGCAGCCCCGAUGCUGCUGACGCUGGCCUGGGGCGCGCUCUUCUUCCCGGGGCUCUUCGCGCUCUGCACCUGGGCGCUGCGCCGCUCCCAGCCCGGAUGGAGCCGCACCGACUGCGUGAUGAUCAGCACCAGGCUGGUUUCCUCGGUGCACGCCGUGCUGGCCACCGGCUCGGGGAUCGUCAUCAUUCGCUCCUGCGACGAUGUGAUCACCGGCAGAGGCUCCGGGGAGACCUUGGGGACUUCUUUGUCGGCUGCAUCUUCACGGCAGAACUGAGCACUCCGUUUGUGUCACUGGGCAGGGUUCUGAUUCAGGCACGUAUGAAUGAAUGGCAGAGAGAGUGAGGGUUCUGAUUCAGGCAUGUAUGAAGAAUGGCAGAGAGAGGGUUCUGAUUCAGGCAUGUAUGAAUGAAUGGCAGAGAGUGAGGGUUCUGAUUCAGACAUGUAUGAAUGAAUGGCAGAGAGAGUGAGGGUUCUGAUUCAGGCAUGUAUGAAUGAAUGGCAGAGAGAGGGUUCUGAUUCAGGCAUGUAUGAAUGAAUGGCAGAGUGAGGGUUCUGAUUCAGGCAUGUAUGAAUGAAAUGGCAGAAAGAGUGUGGGGGGAAGUGGAUUCUGCUUUUCCUUCGGAGAUGGUGGGUGUGGAGAAAUCCCUAAUGCCAGGAGAGUGGAAUGAGAGAUCCUUCAACUGCCUUAAAGGUCAGCUGGUCAUCUCAGCCAGUGGGGGUGAAAUUGUAGGUUCGACCUAAGUUUGAUAGUUUGAUACAGCUCAUUCUAUUUUUUCCCUGGUUACACACAUACUUUAAUCCACGGUUCCUGUACUCCUGUCAGCUGGGUGGCCUGGGUCAAAUUCAAAAUCACUAUUGCAGAAAAUGAGGUUAUUUGCAUAUAUCAAUAUGAUAGUGUUCAAGAAUGUCUUCUCCAAGUGUCAGAAAACUAGACAAACGUCUGGGCGCCUGGGAAUCUGACAGCCGAGGUCUUGAUGAGCACUUGCACCUGUGUGGCAUUUACUGGGGGGGGACUUGGGCCACUCGCUCCCUGAUGCCCAGCUUCGUGGUGACCUUACCUUUUUCCUUCCUCUUCUAUUGCAGCUAAAGCAGCAGCACACCCUUCUGUACAAGGUGAAUGGAAUCCUCACACUGGCCACCUUCCUUUCCUGCCGGAUCCUUCUCUUCCCCUUCAUGUACUGGUCCUAUGGCCGCCAGCAGGGACUCAGCCUGCUCCAAGUACCCUUCAGCAUCCCCUUCUACUGCAACGUGGCCAAUGCCUUCCUCAUAGCUCCUCAGAUCUACUGGUUCUGUCUGCUGUGCAGGAAGGCAGCCCGGCUCUUUGACACUCCCCAAGCCAAAAAGGAUGACUAAAUGCUCCCGGGAGUCGGGCGCAGCCUCACACCAGCUGCCUCCUCCACUCAGCAUUCCAUGGACCAAAUUGUGCCCUGGGUGGCCUCAGACUUCGGGUAUUGAUAAGCAGAUGGAUUUGAGUUUUUCUAAAGAAUAUUCAUAUUACCUCCUCCUUCUAACUUGCCCUAUUUGCAAAAGCACUUUUGUAGUAACAACUAUUGGGUCCUGUCAGACGUCCACGGACAGCAAAGUGGUUUUAAUGCAAGCCCAAGGAUCCUUCUAGGGUCUUAUCUCAAGAGCUCUGGGAGGUGGAAGCAUGGGGCGUGGUCGGUGGACCAGGGUGAUAAGUGUCUGCACAUCUGCCUGUCCCUGUAUCAGCGGCUACCCACCUUUCAAACCACUCAGGGCAGCACCCAUGGCACUGGGCCCGCAGAAGCAAGGGAUGACUUGGUUCUUGGAAGUAAUGUCUUCUUGUGACACUGGCUUGGGACAAUCAUUGUGGGUAGGUAGUUUUUGAUCGUUUACUAGAUAACCCAUUGGUUCUUUGCCUCAUCCUCUCAUCCAUGGGUCAGAGUUGAAUUCUUAUGUCUAUCGACUUCCGAUCAGAAGUCUCACUGGUGGGGCUGGGGGUGGGGACAGGCAGGAGGCAUGGAUGGGAACCUGAGUAGGUAGUGUGGCCAAGAGGUCAGCACAACCUUUGCAGGCUGACUUGGUAAGUCUGACAGUGUCAAACUGGUGAGCUUACUGCAGUCAGUCACAGAUACUGUUCUUUUUAACACACCCCUUCAUGCCCAGCUUUCCCCCUAUCCACAUGCAGAGGACGUGCUCAUAAAAACUACAGGGAAACGUGAAAUGAUGGCUUUGGUAGCUGUUUACUGGGUAACCCCACUCUAUGACACUGUCCUUUUCAUGUGAUGUGGAAACCAACUUCUGUCCUCCAAACCACGAAAUGUGCCAUCUAGACUGCUGAGUACUUGAGUACUUAGCCUCCUGAUACGCCAGAGCCUGUGGUCCAAAGCCCAUUCCUGUGUGAGUGUCCUGCCAUUUAGCCACAGAAGGCUGCAGAGUGAGGGGGCAGCCAGCCUGGCCAGAGGCUGUCCUGUGGACCGACACGUGCACCCCCUUCUGCAAGCAGGAUUUUCUGGUGCCAACACUCAUCAUUCCCAUCAACUAGGAUGGGUUUGAGAUUGUGCUACCAUGUGUUCUGAAGUGGUAGUUUAAAAAGUGGAUUUUUAAAGUGCCUUUUAAUUGUCUGUGAACGUCUAAAGGACUGAAUGAUUUGUCUCAUUUUGACUCUUUAGUCUUUAAUGGGUGCCAUUUAAAAAACAAAAUGCUAUUUUUUAAUUGUCUUUUUUUUAUCAGUGAAAAGUCACCCUUAUGGUGAUUAAAUUGCACUGACAUUCCCAA